rnacentral:rRNA from 1 species
UUAGAGUUUGAUCCUGGCUCAGGACGAACGCUGGCGGCGUGCUUAACACAUGCAAGUCGAGCGGUAAGGCCCCUUCGGGGGUACACGAGCGGCGAACGGGUGAGUAACACGUGAGCAACCUACCCUCAACUUCGGGAUAAGCCUCGGAGACGGGGUCUAAUACCGGAUAUCAUCUUCUGCUUCAUGGCGGAGGGUUGAAAGUUCUGGCGGUUGGGGAUGGGCUCGCGGCCUAUCAGCUUGUUGGUGGGGUAAUGGCCUACCAAGGCUUCGACGGGUAGCCGGCCUGAGAGGGCGACCGGCCACACUGGGACUGAGACACGGCCCAGACUCCUACGGGAGGCAGCAGUGGGGAAUAUUGCGCAAUGGACGAAAGUCUGACGCAGCAACGCCGCGUGAGGGAUGACGGCCUUCGGGUUGUAAACCUCUUUCAGCAGGGACGAAGCGAGAGUGACGGUACCUGCAGAAGAAGGACCGGCCAACUACGUGCCAGCAGCCGCGGUAAUACGUAGGGUCCGAGCGUUGUCCGGAAUUAUUGGGCGUAAAGGGCUCGUAGGCGGUCCGUCGCGUCGGGAGUGAAAACUCGGAGCUUAACUCCGAGCCUGCUUCCGAUACGGGCAGACUAGAGGUAGGCAGGGGAGAGCGGAACACCUGGUGUAGCGGUGGAAUGCGCAGAUAUCAGGUAGAACACCGGUGGCGAAGGCGGCUCUCUGGGCCUUACCUGACGCUGAGGAGCGAAAGCGUGGGUAGCGAACAGGAUUAGAUACCCUGGUAGUCCACGCCGUAAACGUUGGGCGCUAGGUGUGGGGGACAUUCCACGUCCUCCGUGCCGCAGCUAACGCAUUAAGCGCCCCGCCUGGGGAGUACGGCCGCAA